rnacentral:rRNA from 1 species
AUGGACCCGCGGCGUAUUAGCUAGUUGGUGAGGUAACGGCUCACCAAGGCAAUGAUACGUAGCCGAACUGAGAGGUUGAUCGGCCACAUUGGGACUGAGACACGGCCCAAACUCUUACGGGAGGCAGCAGUAGGGAAUCUUCCACAAUGGACGCAAGUCUGAUGGAGCAACGCCGCGUGAGUGAAGAAGGCUUUCGGGUCGUAAAACUCUGUUGUUGGAGAAGAAUGGUCGGCAGAGUAACUGUUGUCGGCGUGACGGUAUCCAACCAGAAAGCCACGGCUAACUACGUGCCAGCAGCCGCGGUAAUACGUAGGUGGCAAGCGUUAUCCGGAUUUAUUGGGCGUAAAGCGAGCGCAGGCGGUUUUUUAAGUCUGAUGUGAAAGCCCUCGGCUUAACCGAGGAAGUGCAUCGGAAACUGGAAAACUUGAGUGCAGAAGAGGACAGUGGAACUCCAUGUGUAGCGGUGAAAUGCGUAGAUAUAUGGAAGAACACCAGUGGCGAAGGCGGCUGUCUGGUCUGUAA